UGCCCUUACUUGAGAUGCCUGGAGUUCUCCUCUAAAAGUUCUGGGUGAGGGACUUGCUCUUCAGCUGAAUGGUUGGAAUUCUCUAGAUAAUGUCUGGCCACUCCCAAGAAUGUCUCUUUGUCGUGUACACAGUUUGGACCACAAUAGCAGGGAGCCCAGAGAAGCCAGUCCAUUCCGGAUGUGGAUGCCUCCCCAAACAAGAGGACAGAAGAUGGUGUUUUCUCGGGACUCCUGAACUGAUUCCUGCAAAGCAAAUGAGAUUUCGUAAUAGCCUUCCCCACCAUUCCAACCCGCCAGGGGCAAACCUAUUCAUUCAAUGGCAGUGAGGUCCCCAUAUACCUAGGACGGAAAAAGCAUGACAGAAACGAAGGGAAACGAGCAUAGAUCUUUGCCAGAAGCCACUGAUGGAUGUGCCAGACCAGCCCGUUCACCAGACAAGAUGCAAAAUCGGACAGGAAGCCAGGUACAUGUUGAAAAUAAUUGAAAGCAAGGACCCCAACAAGUACCUGUACAAUAGUGUUCACAGAAGCACUCUUCACAGUAGCCAACAAGUACGAAAAACCUGAGUCUAUCAUUGGAUGAAUGGAUAAGCAGGAUGUGGUAUACACACACACACACACACACACACACACGAAUAUUAUUCUGCUAUGAAAAGGAAUGGGAUUCUGUUACAUGCUACAGUAUAGUGGAAUUCUGAAAACACUGUGCUACUCAAAAGAAGCCAGAGAGAAAAGGAGAGAUCUUACAUGACUCUAUUUGGGAUGACAGACAGGUUCUGGAAGUAGUUCAUGGUGAUGGGUGGGUAACACUGUGAAUAUACUUGAUACUAGAAUUUUGCAUUUAAAAAUCGUUAAAAUGGCAAAAUGUUAUGCUAUGUCCAUUUUAUCAUGAUUAUAAAAUCAAACCAAACAGACAGUAAGCCUCUCAGAGGCUGAGAUCCUGUCUUAGCCACCUCUGUGUCCCCAGCACCCCGUACAAACCGGCUCACAGGGAUGAUUCCACAAUGUCUGCUAAACGGGCCACUUAGGCAGUGGAAUGGUAUAAAAUUAAUGCUUGCAUUAGUUUGCAAGGCAGACCUCUACCUGGCCUAUCUGAUGCCCCAGGAUCCAAACCAUAUUACAGUUACCAUUCCAAGAACUCAUAAAAUGAUCUCAUCUGUGGAAGUAAAAAUUUAUCAGCUAUAUUUCUCCAAAAGCUGUAUGUCUAUUAAUCCUAAGAAAGUGCUGUAUAGAUUUUAUUUCUCUUGCUAC